rnacentral:rRNA from 1 species
AGAGUUUGAUCAUGGCUCAGAACGAACGCUGGCGGCGUGCCUAACACAUGCAAGUCGAACGUGAUUCAUCCUUCGGGGUGAUGAAAGUGGCGCACGGGUGAGUAAUGCGUAGAUAAUCUGCCUGGUGAUCUGGGAUAACAUCUCGAAAAGGGGUGCUAAUACCGGAUAAGCCCACGGAGUCCUCGGGCUCUGCGGGAAAAGGGGGGGACCUUCGGGCCUUCUGUCACCAGAUGAGUCUACGUACCAUUAGCUAGUUGGUGGGGUAAAGGCCUACCAAGGCGACGAUGGUUAGCUGGUCUGAGAGGAUGAUCAGCCACACUGGAACUGAGACACGGUCCAGACUCCUACGGGAGGCAGCAGCGGGGAAUUUUGCGCAAUGGGGGAAACCCUGACGCAGCAACGCCGCGUGAGUGAUGAAGGCCUUCGGGUCGUAAAGCUCUGUCAGAGGGAAAGAAAUGUCGGGUGGCUAAUAUCCACUUGACUUGACGGUACCCUCAAAGGAAGCACCGGCUAACUCCGUGCCAGCAGCCGCGGUAAUACGGAGGGUGCGAGCGUUGUUCGGAAUUAUUGGGCGUAAAGCGCGUGUAGGCGGUUUGUUAAGUCUGAUGUGAAAGCCCCGGGCUCAACCUGGGAAGUGCAUUGGAUACUGGCAGACUUGAAUACGGGAGAGGGCAGUGGAAUUCCUAGUGUAGGAGUGAAAUCCGUAGAUAUUAGGAGGAACACCGGUGGCGAAGGCGGCUGCCUGGACCGAUAUUGACGCUGAGACGCGAAAGCGUGGGGAGCAAACAGGAUUAGAUACCCUAGUAGUCC